UUCAGAUGAAAAACCAAAAGUAAAAGGUAUCUAUUUGCAAAUUUACAAAUAUUUUACUGAACUCUAUUUAAAAUAUUCAUGUACACAUCAUUAAAUGAAAUGCAAAAAAAAAAUGAAAAAUAAUCAGAGGGAAAUUCAAACUCAUCAUUCGAAAAUAAACUGACAACGCCAUGGAUAAAACGACACACAGACAAACAAUAGUUCACAAAACACAACAUAGAAAUCUAAAGAUUGAGAAACACUAACCCUACCAUUAACUUGGGUUGAUACCAAUGGUAUUGCAUCAGAUGUUUAUCUCGACAUACAUAUCCCUUCAUUGAUGCGAGAGGCC
rnacentral:lncRNA from 1 species